CCUGAACGCUGGCGGCGUGGCUAAGACAUGCAAGUCGCACGGAGGUAGCAAUACCUUAGUGGCGAACGGGUGAGUAAAGUAUCGCUAACGUACCCUUUAGUUCGGGAUAGCCAGGGGAAACUCUGGGUAAUACCGGGAGAUAUUCUCUUCUCGCAUGGGAGGAGACUCAAAGGAGCAAUCCGCUGAAGGAGCGGGCGAUAUCGUAUCAGCUAGUUGGUGAGGUAACGGCUCACCAAGGCGACGACGCGUAGCCGGACUGAGAGGUCGGUCGGCCACAUUGGGACUGAGACACUGCCCAGACUCCCUACGGGGGGCGGGUCUCGACGUAAACGGUAAACGUACUUUCCCGUUCCCGAACUAAGUCGACCGACCGAACGUAAGGUUGGUACGGGAACGGGA
rnacentral:rRNA from 1 species